ACACAUGCAAGUCGAGGGGCAGCAUUCCAGUUUGCUUGCAAACUGGAGGUGGCGACCGGCGCACGGGUGAGUAACACGUAUCCAACCUGCCGAUAACUCGGGGAUAGCCUUUCGAAAGAAAGAUUAAUACCCGAUGGCAUAAUAGAACCGCAUGGUUUGAUUAUUAAAGAAUUUCGGUUAUCGAUGGGGAUGCGUUCCAUUAGGCAGUUGGUGGGGUAACGGCCCACCAAACCUUCGAUGGAUAGGGGUUCUGAGAGGAAGGUCCCCCACAUUGGAACUGAGACACGGUCCAAACUCCUACGGGAGGCAGCAGUGAGGAAUAUUGGUCAAUGGACGAGAGUCUGAACCAGCCAAGUAGCGUGAAGGAUGACUGCCCUAUGGGUUGUAAACUUCUUUUAUAUGGGAAUAAAGUGGUCCACGUGUGGAUUUUUGUAUGUACCAUAUGAAUAAGGAUCGGCUAACUCCGUGCCAGCAGCCGCGGUAAUACGGAGGAUCCGAGCGUUAUCCGGAUUUAUUGGGUUUAAAGGGAGCGUAGGUGGACAGUUAAGUCAGUUGUGAAAGUUUGCGGCUCAACCGUAAAAUUGCAGUUGAUACUGGCUGUCUUGAGUACAGUAGAGGUGGGCGGAAUUCGUGGUGUAGCGGUGAAAUGCUUAGAUAUCACGAAGAACUCCGAUUGCGAAGGCAGCUCACUGGACUGCAACUGACACUGAUGCUCGAAAGUGUGGGUAUCAAACAGGAUUAGAUACCCUGGUAGUCCACACAGUAAACGAUGAAUACUCGCUGUUUGCGAUAUACAGUAAGCGGCCA
rnacentral:rRNA from 1 species